UAACCGCCCACCGCCUCAGUUUCCCGGUGGGACGAACUCUCUCUCACAGGUAGUUUAAGAACCAGGCUUUCUUUGGCAUUGUAUACCUGCCAUGUGCCAGGCUGUGUCGUGCUCUGGGGAUUCAGUCUCUGUGCAAACUAUGACUCCAUACAGAUGAAGUCCAAGAACAGGCAAAACGCAUCACAGGAGGAGCCCCUGGAGCCCCUGGCCGAACACAUCUGAAAGCACGGAGCCAGACCUCUGCAGCGCCCUCCAGCGGGCAGGUUCUGCGGGCAGCCAUCUCCUCGCAGGCCAG
rnacentral:lncRNA from 10 species